ACAUGCAAGUCGAACGAGGUCCAUGGCGUGGCAACACUCCGGAAGACCUAGUGGCGAACGGGUGAGUAACACGUGAGGAACCUGCCCCGAAGACCGGGAUAACCCUCCGAAAGGAGAGCUAAUACCGGAUACCCCCAUUUGAUCGCAUGAUCGGAUGAGGAAAUGGAUUCCGCUUCGGGAGGGCCUCGCGGCCUAUCAGCUUGUUGGUGGGGUAACGGCCCACCAAGGCAUCGACGGGUAGCUGGUCUGAGAGGACGAUCAGCCACACUGGGACUGAGACACGGCCCAGACUCCUACGGGAGGCAGCAGUGGGGAAUCUUGCGCAAUGGGCGAAAGCCUGACGCAGCAACGCCGCGUGGGGGAUGAAGGCUCUCGGGUUGUAAACCCCUUUCAGCAGGGACGAACUAAGACGGUACCUGCAGAAGAAGCCCCGGCUAACUACGUGCCAGCAGCCGCGGUAACACGUAGGGGGCAAGCGUUGUCCGGAUUUAUUGGGCGUAAAGAGCUCGUAGGCGGCUCGGUAAGUCGGGUGUUAAAUCCCCAGGCUCAACCUGGGACACCACCCGAUACUGCUGUGGCUAGAGUCCGGUAGGGGAGCGUGGAAUUCCUGGUGUAGCGGUGAAAUGCGCAGAUAUCAGGAGGAACACCAGCGGCGAAGGCGGCGCUCUGGGCCGGAACUGACGCUGAGGAGCG
rnacentral:rRNA from 1 species